AAGUUCAUUUAUGUUCAUCUAUCCACAAGGAGCACCAGAGAGCCACCAUCCCACCACACCUUCCUCACCAAGAUGCAGGUGAAGCAGAAGGUGCAGACUCACCAAUCAGCUACAGGAAAUGACCAUUGAAAGAAAGUAACAGUGAGAUUGGCUGAUCUUUAUCACAGAAGAGAGCAUGAAGAAUAGGUCCCAUCAUAGAGAAUUUGUUUUUGAAGACAGGAGAAACACCUUCACAGACUCCGGAGGGUACACACCUGUGGAGUAGACACCAGGGAAAUUCUUAGACUUCUAUUUCAGCAAGCCUCCUGAGAGAGCUCAUGCAGCUCCACCUCCCAUCAUCUAAACAGCCUGCCUCUACUGACAUAGGGUCAGCACAGGUGUUCUUGGAUUCUUUUGUUGUAGGAGUUUUCAGAAAUAGUAUGAUUCUUUCGGGAAUUCCCUUUUCUCUACCAUUGGCCAAGAGGAAAAUGUCAGAGACCCCCAGACACAGAAAGAGCAGGUAAGAACAAGCAGCUGGGUCAAGGUUAGGUCCAGCACCAUUUCCUCCUGUAACAUUAGCCUGUUUAACAUUCAACCCACUUGUGUUUAAUUCAUCGCUUUACUCAUACACAUUCUCCCCACACACACAUUCAACCCCAUCACCACUUUCAUGACA